AUGGCCCGCGGGAAGGUGGCCGAGUGGAUACGGAAGCGUACCAUGCCGAGUAAGUCGUCCGCCGGUCGCCGGAGUAGGGGCAGCGGGGCGUCCGAGCCGAUACUGCCGAGCGAGGCAGCGCCGGAGAGCUGGAGCAACGCCAGCAGGGCGCCUAGAAAGGCUGACGGGAGCGGAAACGGUGCCAGUGGCAGCGGCGCGCCAACGGCGCACUCGAAGUCCCGGGCGAGCGCCUUCCUGUCGGCGCUUAUGCGGUGGCGGCCGCGCGUGAACGUGAUGGCCGUGCCGUGGGAGCAGGUGGUGUACCACCUGAUGUGA
rnacentral:rRNA from 1 species